CGAUUUCCCUCUCUUCCUCUCCCUCUCGUUCUCAAUGAUCUCCCUCUUGCUUCGUCGUUCACAGUAGCUGCUCGUUGUCAGAUACCGUAGCUGUUCGAUUUCACAGUAGCUGUUCGCUGUCGUUCACAGUAGUUGUUCGAUUUCCGUCUUCUCCUCCGCCGUCUCCGUACUCUUUCACCGUUCUCACUGCAAGUACCAUCCACAGAUGUGAUUGAUAGACUAAAUGCAUUGAGAGGUAGAGGCAUGGCUUCCUUGUAUUCAUGGUCUUGUAAGAGAAGCUACAAGAGUGGAUUUGUGUGGCAUGAUCUUUCUGAAGAUGAUUUAAUUUUACCAGCCCAUGGAAAUGAGUAUGUCCUCAAAGGCUCUGAG